rnacentral:RNase_MRP_RNA from 1 species
CAACCACGAGACGAAGUGAGUGGGUCAUGGUCGAUGCUUAAUUGUGCGACUAGACCCAGAAAAGUCCCCGGGCCCAUUACUGUAGAGUGCAGCUCGGAAAUGUGUGAUCUUCGAGUCGAAGGGGUUAACAUGCGCUUGUGCAAGUGGGCUGAGACAUGCGUGGAGCCUUUAUUAACCCCUUCGCCGAAGCAAAUUGGCCAAUUCAACACAGUUAUUCACUUGGUCCCUUGUGGAUUAACAGAACGGGGCUUACGAUCUCGUGGUU